rnacentral:sRNA from 1 species
ACCGGUACUGCGAGAUGGAACGGUAAAGCGGGUGCUUCUUCGUACUCUGCUGCGUCUAAGUCCUGAAGAUG